AGGACAUAAGCAGCUCUAUGACC
rnacentral:piRNA from 1 species